rnacentral:rRNA from 1 species
GACGAACGCUGGCGGCGUGCUUAACACAUGCAAGUCGAACGGAAAGGCCCUGCUUUUGUGGGGUGCUCGAGUGGCGAACGGGUGAGUAACACGUGAGUAACCUGCCCUUGACUUUGGGAUAACUUCAGGAAACUGGGGCUAAUACCGGAUAGGAGCUCCUGCUGCAUGGUGGGGGUUGGAAAGUUUCGGCGGUUGGGGAUGGACUCGCGGCUUAUCAGCUUGUUGGUGGGGUAGUGGCUUACCAAGGCUUUGACGGGUAGCCGGGCUGCGAGGGUGACCGGCCACGUUGGGACUGAGAUACGGCCCAGACUCCUACGGGAGGCAGCAGUGGGGAAUAUUGCACAAUGGGCGGAAGCCUGAUGCAGCAACGCCGCGUGCGGGAAGACGGCCUUCGGGUUGUAUACCGCUUUCGCCUGUGACGAAGCGUGAGUGACGGUAAUGGGUAAAGAAGCACCGGCUAACUACGUG